rnacentral:lncRNA from 1 species
CAAAAAGCUGCUUCUUUCUUUUAAGGUCUCUGAGUUUUAUGCCCUAGAUGCAGAUCUGGUGCUGGAGGUUCUAUACGCAAUGAAGACCACCUUCAAACCAACUCUUGCAGCACUUUUGUAUGGGCUUUGUAUGCUGCCGUUAUCACUCUGAAAU